ACUUCUAACUUUUUUGUGUUUGUGCACAGAGUUUUUUCAUUCAUACGGUCUUUCCUAUGCCGUACUAAUGCUGAUCUUACUUUUAUUUUGUGGUGGUAUUCGUUUGAGUUGGCCUUUUGAUUACAGUGGUCAUUCAUCUGUGUGCAGAUGGUGAGGUGGAAGAUUGGCACGCUCUUACCAGUUUUCACACCCAACAUUAGUACUUUUGGCUGAUGUUUUCCUUGCCGCCUUGCUCUUUCCCAAUAAUCUCAUGUGGUAGAUGACUACAUUCUUCUCAAGCUGCUUGCCACUUGGCCCUUUCCGGCCCUAUCCAUGCCUUGUUCAUUCGCGUGUCAUCGCAUGUUCUCACGUAGGAUGGUUUUUGGCAUCACUGUUGUAUCAUCGACUCGUGCUACCAAACAUAAAUACCAUGUUCAAUCUUUUGGUGGCAUUAUUUUGUUUUCAAUAUGGCUUUCAAAGUUCUUUUGUAGGGCAAAUAUAUAUUAGUCUUUCCUAGGGGAAACAUUCAACCAUUCUCUCUGUCUUCGGCAUUUUCCUUUCCUUGUUCCAAUAUUGAAAGGGCAAUUAUCAAUGUUUUGGGUGCUGAAUGGUUGCAGGCUAACCAAUUCUUACUGUCUUCGGAGGCAACUUCUAGAUUUGCUUAUGUGGUUAUGGAUCUCUCAUGGUUGGUAGAUCUAAUGAAACUUCUUGUUGGGUCUUUUGUUCACACGUCCUUGUUCACUUGGGAAGAUCUUUCGAGUGCUCUUGCUGACUUCAACAUCUUCGUGGGGCCUCAGCUUAUUGGUGGUUUUCUGGACAGGAACUAGAUUGUGGAGGAGUCUAUUUCGAGGUCCAUCCUUAUUUACAUGAUCAAUGGCUUGAGGGCUAACUCAGCUUGGCCAUUUCAUUCAUGGAUUCUUCAAUACAAAAAUAUUAUUGGUGAGCCUCUGUGUUCUACUACUCUGUUAAAGUCUGAUGGAAUCUGGGAGCUUUUUGUGCAUGCACUCAUGGAUCCUCAUGGGUAUCCGUCUUCAUUUCCUCGCCCUUUUGAUGCUACAUCAUUUGAGGAAUCAUCUAAUGGGCAGUAAUCUUGCUCCAAGAACAUGUGAAAAUUCACUUUUCAAGAAGCGGUGGACCUGGUGGACAAAAUCUUCUCAACUUUGGGCAAUGGAUUCGGCAGCAACAUGUAAUCCUGUGGAAUGUUGUAAUAGCCAUACAUAUAUCAUUUUAAGUGAAUACGAAGGUGGAUAUGCGGUUCAAUGUAAUGGCUGCUGGUUGGCUGCCUAUGGGAGUUAGAGAAAGAAUAUCACAAAUGGUCUGUUACUUAACUUUCUGAUGUAUGGCCAAGCUACUUGUAUUUUCCUUGGUAAAGGUUUUGUUUUAAAUUUUGAUUAUAGAAAUAUGCUUCUUCUUUCUCAGGUCUGAUCUUUCCUGUGUAUGUUACCCUUGUACUGUAUAAUUAGUUUGUUAGUGAUGUCAAACAGGGAAUAAAUCGAAUCAAUAAUGAUGGGGAAAUUGUUGUUUCAUCCACCAAAACUCGGUCCCAGAAGGGCAAUAUUGAUGAUGCUCUGGGAAAACUUCAGGCCUUAAUUGAUGCUGCUGCUGAUGUUCCACCAAGUCAAGUAGAUCAGAAGAUAAAAAAGAUAGAAAAAUUAGCUGAAAUUAUAGAGAAGAAAGGAUUGAAAACUAAAAUAAUGCAUUCUUUGAAGAAAGCUGGGAAGAGAAAGAAAGGUAGCUGAUCGAAGGAAUUGUUUGCACGUGAGAACCAUUAAUCUUGUUUCAUCAAUUGUUUUGAAAGAACAUCGAUGGUUAAAAAAUUAAGCAUAUAUACCUGCUGUACCGGGUCUUGUGAGAAAUACAGAUCUAUUAUGAAUGGAAGACAUAUUGGCUAAAUGGAAGACAGAUCUUGUGACUUUUUUCAGACUUGUAUGGAUCUCUGAAGAGUGUGAUGAACAAAAUCAGAAGGAAGAAAAAUAUAUAUUACAUUAGUGUGCGACUCUAGAAGGUCAUCGCAUUGUUAUUCAAUCCAUCACUUUUUUAUGGAUAAUAUUUCAAUCAAAAGGAAUUAUUUUCAUUUA